AGUGAACGCUGGCGGUAGGCCUAACACAUGCAAGUCGAACGGCAGCACAGUAAGAGCUUGCUCUUACGGGUGGCGAGUGGCGGACGGGUGAGGAAUACAUCGGAAUCUACUUUUUCGUGGGGGAUAACGUAGGGAAACUUACGCUAAUACCGCAUACGACCUACGGGUGAAAGCAGGGGAUCUUCGGACCUUGCGCGAUUGAAUGAGCCGAUGUCGGAUUAGCUAGUUGGCGGGGUAAAGGCCCACCAAGGCGACGAUCCGUAGCUGGUCUGAGAGGAUGAUCAGCCACACUGGAACUGAAACACGGUACAGACUCCUACGGGAGGCAGCAGUGGGGAAUAUUGGACAAUGGGCGCAAGCCUGAUCCAGCCAAACCGCGUGGGUGAAGAAGGCCUUCGGGUUGUAAAGCCCUUUUGUUGGGAAAGAAAAGCAGCAGGUUAAUACCCCGCUGUUCUGACGGUACCCAAAGAAUAAGCACCGGCUAAAUUCGUG
rnacentral:rRNA from 1 species